UACAGCCACAUCACGUUGAAACACCAGUUCGCGUACGAUCACCGAAGUUAAGCAACGUCGAGCCUGGUUAGUAUCUAAAUGGGAGACCGCUUGUGAAUAUCAGGUGUUGUAA